CCUACGGGAGGCAGCAGUAGGGAAUCUUCGGCAAUGGGGGCAACCCUGACCGAGCAACGCCGCGUGAGUGAAGAAGGUCUUCGGAUCGUAAAGCUCUGUUGUAAGAGAAGAACGUGUGUGAGAGUGGAAAGUUCACACAGUGACGGUAACUUACCAGAAAGGGACGGCUAACUACGUGCCAGCAGCCGCGGUAAUA
rnacentral:rRNA from 1 species